rnacentral:rRNA from 1 species
AUGCAAGUCGAGCGGGCUUAUUCGGGCAACUGGAUAAGUUAGCGGCGAACUGGUGAGUAACACGUAGGUAAUCUGCCGUAGAGUGGGGGAUAACCCAUGGAAACAUGGACUAAUACCGCAUAUACUCUUGACGCUAAAGCGUAGUAGAGGAAAGGAGCAAUCCGCUUUACGAUGAGCCUGCGGCCUAUUAGCCUGUUGGUGAGAUAAAAGCCCACCAAAGCUACGAUAGGUAGCCGACCUGAGAGGGUGACCGGCCACAUUGGGACUGAGAUACGGCCCAGACUCCUACGGGAGGCAGCAGCUGAGAAUCUUCCACAAUGGACGAAAGUCUGAUGGAGCGACAUCGCGUGAGGGAUGAAGGCCUUCGGGUUGUAAACCUUGGAAAUUAUCGAAGAAUGAGUGACAGUAGAUAAUGUAAGCCUCGGCUAACUACGUGCCAGCAGCCGCGGUAAUACGUAGGAGGCAAACGUUGCUCGGAUUUACUGGGCGUAAAGGGUGAGUACGCGGAACUAUAAGUCUAAGGUGAAAUAUCGAAGCUCAACUUCGGAAACGCCUCGGAUACUGUGGUUCUUGGAUAUUGUAGGGGAUGAUGGAAUUCUCGGUGUAGCGGUGGAAUGUAUAGAUAUCGAGAAGAACACCUAUAGCGAAGGCAGUCAUCUGGGCAUUUAUCGACGCUGAAUCACGAAAGCUGGGGGAGCAAACAGGCUUAGAUACCCUGGUAGUCCCAGCCGUAAACGUUGCACACUAGGUGCUCCUAUUAAAAUAGGCGUGCCGUAGCUAACGUCUUAAGUGUGCCGCCUGAGGAGUAUGCCCGCAAGGGUGAAACUCAAAGAAAUUGACGGGUCCCCGCACAAGUGGUGGAGCAUGUGGUUUAAUUCGAUGAUACGCGAAAAACCUUACCUGGGUUUGAAUUGU